rnacentral:rRNA from 1 species
AUACGUAGGUGGCGAGCGUUGUCCGGAAUUAUUGGGCGUAAAGAGCAUGUAGGCGGCUUAAUAAGUCGAGCGUGAAAAUGCGGGGCUCAACCCCGUAUGGCGCUGGAAACUGUUAGGCUUGAGUGCAGGAGAGGAAAGGGGAAUUCCCAGUGUAGCGGUGAAAUGCGUAGAUAUUGGGAGGAACACCAGUGGCGAAGGCGCCUUUCUGGACUGUGUCUGACGCUGAGAUGCGAAAGCCAGGGUAGCGAACGGGAUUAGAUACCCCGGGAGUCCUGGCCGUAAACGAUGGGUACUAGGUGUAGGAGGUAUCGACCCCUUCUGUGCCGGAGUUAACGCAAUAAGUACCCCGCCUGGGGAGUACGGCCGCAAGGUUGAAACUCAAAUGAAUUGACGGGG